GAGAGGGGUACAGGCUAAGAAAA
rnacentral:piRNA from 1 species